AAGAUUUAUUGCCUGAAGAGGAGCUCGCGUCUGAUUAGCUAGUUGGUGGGGUAAAGGCUUACCAAGGCGGCGAUCAGUAGCUGGUCUGAGAGGACGAUCAGCCACACUGGGACUGAGACACGGCCCAGACUCCUACGGGAGGCAGCAGUGGGGAAUUUUCCGCAAUGGGCGAAAGCCUGACGGAGCAAGACCGCGUGAGGGAGGAAGGCUCUUGGGUUGUAAACCUCUUUUCUCAGGGAAGAAAAAAAUGACGGUACCUGAGGAAUCAGCAUCGGCUAACUCCGUGCCAGCAGCCGCGGUAAUACGGAGGAUGCAAGCGUUAUCCGGAAUCAUUGGGCGUAAAGCGUUCGUAGGUGGCCUUUCAAGUCUGCCGUUAAAGACAGUGGCUUAACCACUGAAAGGCGGUGGAAACUGAAAGACUAGAGUGCGGUAGGGGUAGAGGGAAUUCCCGGUGUAGCGGUGAAAUGCGUAGAGAUCGGGAAGAACACCAGUGGCGAAAGCGCUCUACUGGGCCUGCACUGACACUGAGGGACGAAAGCUAGGGGAGCGAAUGGGAUUAGAUACCCCAGUAGUCCUAGCCGUAAACGAUGGAUACUAGGUGUUGCUCGUAUCGACCCGAGCAGUGCCGUAGCCAACGCGUUAAGUAUCCCGCCUGGGGAGUACGCACGCAAGUGUGAAACUCAAAGGAAUUGACGGGGGCCCGCACAAGCGGUGGAGUAUGUGGUUUAAUUCGAUGCAACGCGAAGAACCUUACCAGGGCUUGACAUGUCCGGAAYCUUCUGGAAAGGGAAGAGUGCCUUCGGGAGCCGGAACACAGGUGGUGCAUGGCUGUCGUCAGCUCGUGUCGUGAGAUGUUGGGUUAAGUCCCGCAACGAGCGCAACCCUCGUUCUUAGUUGCCAGCAUUCAGUUGGGCACUCUAGGGAGACUGCCGGUGACAAACCGGAGGAAGGUGGGGAUGACGUCAAGUCAGCAUGCCCCUUACGUCCUGGGCUACACACGUACUACAAUGCUACGGACAGAGGGCAGCUACCUCGCGAGAGGCGGCAAAUCCCAUAAACCGUGGCUCAGUUCAGAUCGCAGGCUGCAACUCGCCUGCGUGAAGGCGGAAUCGCUAGUAAUCGCCGGUCAGCAUACGGCGGUGAAUCCGUUCCCGGGCCUUGUACACACCGCCCGUCACACCAUGGGAGCUGGCCACGCCCGAAGUCGUUACUCCAACUGUUCGCAGAGGAGGACGCCGAAGGCAGGGCUGGUGACUGGGGUGAAGUCGUAACAAGGUAGCCGUACCGGAAGGUGUGGCUGGAUCACCUCCUUUUUAGGGAGACCAACUCUGGAGUCACGAGUCAGUAGUGAUGAGUUGAAAAAGAUCAACUCAACACUCAAAACUCAAAACUCACAGAGACAUCCCUUGGUCGGUCGAGAUACGCUCCCUGGCUUUCAAACUAUUCACGGUUCGGAUUAUGGGCUAUUAGCUCAGGUGGUUAGAGCGCACCCCUGAUAAGGGUGAGGUCCCUGGUUCGAGUCCAGGAUGGCCCACCUGUUGAGUAGUUAUGAGUUACACGCAAAGAGUAAGGCGACAAAAAUCAACUCAAAACUCAAAAUUUUUGACGGGGGUAUAGCUCAGUUGGUAGAGCGCCUGCUUUGCAAGCAGGAUGUCAGCAGUUCGAGUCUGCUUACCUCCACCAAACAAUCAGCUACGGCUAGUAAAAUCCAAACAGCUAGUUGAUUAAAUCAACAAAAAGGCUGUGGAUUCACUAGGGAGUGGCAAACAGCAAAAGAAAUUGCUAAAGUAAAAAAGUUGGAUAAAGGCUUCAGCAACUGGACUUAAGUAAAAACUAAGUCGGCCUGCUGGACUCGCGUCCAGUGUGAACCUUGAAAACUGCAUAGUAACAGAUAAAGUUAGUCUAGAGAAAGACGUCUAAAACAGGCGUCCAGUAUCUUCAAGACAAAAGACAAUCAAAGCAAGAUAAACUUUGUGGUCAAGCUACAAAGGGCUGAUGGUGGAUACCUAGGCACACAGAGGCGAAGAAGGACGUGGCGACCGACGAAACAUUCCGGGGAGCUGGAAGCAAGCGGUGAUCCGGAAAUAUCCGAAUGGGACAACCCCUAGUACUACCGACUGAAUCAAUAGGUCGGCAAGAGCCAACCCAGCGAAUUGAAACAUCUUAGUAGCUGGAGGAAGAGAAAGAAAAAUCGAUUCCCCUAGUAGCGGCGAGCGAAGCGGGAAGAGCCUAAACCAUCGGGUAUACCUGAUGGGGUAGUGGGACAGCAACAAGGAAUCCGGAAGCUAGACGAAGCAGUUGGGAUACUGCACAAAACAAGGUGAAAGUCCUGUAGUCAAAAGUGGAAAGAUACAAGCUGAAUCCCGAGUAGCAGGGGACACGGGAAAUCCCCUGUGAAUCAGCGAGGACCAUCUCGUAAGGCUAAAUACUCCUGUGUGACCGAUAGUGAACCAGUACCGCGAGGGAAAGGUGAAAAGAACCCCGAAAGGGGAG
rnacentral:misc_RNA from 4 species